CCAGACAAAAAAGAUAGACAACAGAGGCGCUGUUUAGAGAAAAGAAUAAGACCUUUUUUCGAAAAUUUAACAACUCUUAUAAGUUGGAAGUCAGAUCGUACUUUGCAAUUACAGCUACGCAGCUGCCAGGAGAGAGAGAGGGAGCCAUUACUUUUAAAUGUAAGUAUGAUCUCUUACUGUAGCUUUAUGUAAUUAUUUUGAGUAACAAAAUUAUAUUCUUCAAUCCCAGCUGCUAAAGAGAAUUUUCCCAAAAUAGA